CAGGUUGGGUCGCUCCCGAGUUAACUCCUUCCCGCAGCGCGGAGCGCCGCGCCUUACAGCCUGGCGCAUUCCCCUCACCCCUCCGUAACACACAGCCCCGGCUCCCCCGGGCGCUCCGAGGCGCUUCGGUGCGUUCUGUCCCCGGCCCCAAGGCAGCUCACUUCCUCCCCCCCCCCGCCAACUCCGGGCUCCGGGGUGCGGGCAGAGUACGGAGCCCUCCGCCGAAGCCAUGGAGAGACCGAGAGCCGCGGAGGGCUGCGGGAUCGCCGCGGGAGAGCCCCGCACGCUUCGCCAGGAGAGCCCCGCACCGAGCGGAGGGGGGCCGCCGCCCGGGCAGUGCACAAUUUCACCAGAAGUAUGGCAUCCUAUUCUGAACCUACAAUACAACCAACCUGCUUAUUUCCCAGUCCUGCAGAUGAAGAAUUGGAAGAUUUGUACAAGUAAAUGAGAGGUUCUACAACUUUCCAGUGAGACAGAUGGCAUUUGCCAAUGUUACUAAAAUGCCUUGAGUCAGCAAACUGUAAAAAGCUGCCUUUGCAUAAAUAGAAAACAGUACAGAAAUUAAUGUUAA